rnacentral:rRNA from 1 species
UGAGAGUUGGAAAGUACCCGAAGCCUCGUGAGCUAACUUAAACGAGGCAGCAGUCGAAGGUAGAGCCAAUGAUUGGGGUGAAGUCGUAACAAGGUACC